UUUAAAUACAUUUUUUGUGUGUGUUUUGAUGUUAUGUACUAAGGUGAAUAGAAUGCUCGCGGGUUCGAUUCCCACCGUGGUCAGGCUAACUUUUCAGCCUGCCCGGUGUGGAUAUACACUGCAGAGUAACAUAAAAAAAUACUUUAAAUAAUAAAUGUUUGGAAAAUAUAAUGGUUUGUCAGUAAGGCGAGGUUUUCUGCAUGCAUGUAUUUUCUAGUAUUGGAAUAAGAUUCAUGCUACCGAUCGCGACGUUUUUUCAUAUAACUAUAUCUCUUGUCAUUUAUUCCUUUUGUCAGUUACGAAUAGACGUCAUAAGCUUCGUAUCAAAAUUUCCAUUUCAGAUCGUGCACUGUUUUCAUUUUAAACUGCUUGUAUCUAGACAUUUUAUAUUCGAAUAUGAAUAAAACAUUCAUAAUGACAAACAGUGAUAAAAAGAUGUUAACAUCACAUGAUCUGAAUUGCGAUUUGCAUACCGUACGAAGCUGAAGACGUCUGUUAACUUUCUCAGCAGUUGAAAUUUGUGCUAGUCCUAAAGAUGAUUGCAGUGAGUUUGCUACAUGCACAAACACUGGUCCGGGCAGUUAUAUAUGUACUUGCAAUCCUGGGUAUACUGGCGACGGAUACAAAUUUUGCAAAGGUUAGCAAGGACAUUUUCUCUCUAUUCAAAAAAGCGAUCAACAGUGUGCACUUUGGAUCCGAAUAUCAGUGUUUCGUUUUGGUUAUUAACUGUUCCAAUUCUCUUCAGAAAUCAAAAUCUGUGGAACUCCACAAGACGACUGCAGUGAAUUUGCAACCUGUGCUGAUACUGGACCUGGAACCUCCACCUGCACUUGUAAGAAGGGAUAUACUGGAAAUGGAAAGACCUGUGAAGGUGAGAAACGAUUUUUCUUUAUAACAAAAAUACAGGACCAGGAACUUUUACCUGUACCUGUAGCUGUAGCGAAGGAUAUAUACUGGAGAUGGAAAAACCUGUGAAGGUAAUAUUUGGUAUUUCUUUAAAAAACCGAUUGCCUCUGUCUCAGCAAAAUUCUUAGAUUACAAACUAAAUACAACUGUAAGUUAUGUCAUUCACUAAUGUGUUCUUGCAAAUUUCAGUAAGUGCUUCUUCAUUCAUAUUGCUUCCAUUAGAAAUCGAAAUAUGUGGAACUGCACAAGAAGAUUGCAGUGAAUUUGCAACGUGUGCUGACACGGGACCAGGAACUUAUACCUGU